rnacentral:antisense_RNA from 1 species
CUUUAUGGUGAGGCUAGGAGGGGCACGCUUGCGUGCGCUGAUUUCCUUUUGUAUCAGUCUGUCAACCCUUCUAGUCUUGCCACCAUU